rnacentral:rRNA from 1 species
GACGAACGCUGGCGGCGUGCUUAACACAUGCAAGUCGAACGGAAAGGCCUGCUUUCCCUUGUGGAUUGCGGGUACUCGAGUGGCGAACGGGUGAGUAACACGUGAGUGAUCUGCCCCCAACUUGGGUAUAAGCCUGGGAAACUGGGUCUAAUUCCCGAUAGGACUGCAGGGUGGUGCCUGUGGUGGAAAACGAUUUUCUAGUGGUUGGGGAUGAGCUCGCGGCCUAUCAGCUUGUUGGUGGGGUAAUGACCUACCAAGGCGGCGACGGGUAGCCGGCCCGAGAGGGUGGACGGCCACAUUGGGACUGAGAUACGGCCCAGACUCCUACGGGAGGCAGCAGUGGGGAAUAUUGCACAAUGGGCGGAAGCCUGAUGCAGCGACGCCGCGUGGGGGAUGACGGCCUUCGGGUUGUAAACUCCUUUCGACCGCGAGGAAGCCACCUGGUUGGAAGGGUGGUGACGGUAGUGGUAGAAGAAGCACCGGCUAACUACGUG